CCCUACGGGGCGCAGCAGGAUGGAAAACAUUAGCGGCUCCAACUCCUUCAUUUCUUCGGGCCCGCAGCCCACCAGGAUCAGUGCGCCUUCUUUCACCAGGGGCAGGUUCUGCAUGGUGGCCAUCAACCGGCUCUUGAUGUAGUUCGCGGCGAUGUGCUCCGUGGCCAGUAAAAUCUCGCCACGGUACCAGGCCAGGCUGAUCAGUUCCAUCGCGGGGAGGAUGAUUUCCUGGAAAAUAAUGAGGAGUUCAAAAUACUUCUGGCAGUCCUCGAGAAUCAGGGUGGCGCGCUGUUCGUUGUGCGCGAUGAGCGCGCCAAAGAGCAUUUCGGCGUAAUCGCGGGCCGGGCGGGGGGGC
rnacentral:rRNA from 1 species